AGACUGAACGCUGGCGGCAUGCCUAACACAUGCAAGUCGAACGGCAGCGCGGGGAGCAAUCCCUGGCGGCGAGUGGCGGACGGGUGAGGAAUACAUCGGAAUCUACCCUGUCGUGGGGGAUAACCGAAGCGAAAGUUUGGCUAAUACCGCAUACGACCGAGAGGUGAAAGCGGAGGACCUUCGGGCUUCGGCGCGAGUUGGAUGAGCCGAUGUCGGUAUUAGCUAGGUUGGGACGGGGUAAGACGCCCAACGAAGGCGACGACUCCGUAGCGUGGUCUGAGGAGGAUGAUC
rnacentral:rRNA from 1 species